CGGCCGACACUGUUCGAGCGCGAGGCUCAGUGCAACCUUGUUUUUGGAACGGCGUAAUGGCGUGCCCUUCGCUUAAGAUGUGAAAGCGACCAUACCGCUUAUUAGUGCAGCGUCGCUGAAGCACGAACAAUUGGAGCUUCGACGUAAUAUGAGAUAUAGUAUGGAGGCAACGACAACCGUUCCUUCGUUCAGCGGAAGUCUUGAAUCCGUGCGGUUUGUACAUGCGUCACGCUUUGUAUGUAGUACGUGAUAUGACUCUCCUCGUUGUCUUUUUGUGCUACCCACCCUCCAGUUGUAAAGUUGAGCGCGUGUUCGUUAUAUGGUGCUGUCUUCCCGGAUGACGCAGAAAUAUCUCUCGACAGUGUUUAUGUGCCCAAAAGGUGAAAGCCAACAAAGCAAACGAAUUACUUCAAUUCCACGUUGCGUUUACGAGGCAUAACCAUCAAACCAAGGGUGUCUUCAAUCUUCGAGCUCCAACCACUGCUCUCUGGAAGAGAGAGAAAGAGAUAGAAAUAGGAAGCGAAAGGCGGGGAAGUUCACCGGAAGGCAAACAACCAGUUUGCUAUCCUGUACUGGCGAAUUGGUAAGCCGAGCUGACCAGGCGGGUGACGAGAGGCGGCGUCACCACGAGGACGACCACCAAGGGCGGCAAGAAGACCAAGACAAAGAAGGAAGGCGAGCUGACCAUGAUGAGAACCGGAAACACUCAAAACAAGAAAGGUGGAAAAGGUAAAGGUGCGAAAGGCGGCAAACCAGCAGGUAC